rnacentral:misc_RNA from 1 species
GAUGAAGAACGUAGCGAAAUGCGAUACGUAGUGUGAAUUGCAGAAUUCAGUGAAUCAUCGAAUCUUAGAACGCACAUUGCACCUCUCGGUAUUCCGGGAGGUAUGCCUGUUCGAGCGUCAUUUGUACCCUCAAGCUCUGCUUGGUGUUGGGUGUUUGUUCCGCCUCUGUGUGUGAACUCGCCUCAAAACAAUUGGCAGCCGGCGUACUUGUUUCGGAGCGCAGCACAUUUUGCGAUCCAGAUCAACGUACAGCGGCAUCCAAGAAGCCUUAUUUAACGCUCUUGACCUCGGAUCAGGUAGGGAUACCCGCUGAACUUAAGCAUAUCAAUAAGCGGAGGA